UGUAUGAACGGCAUCACGAGGGUUUAACUGUCUCCUUCCCCCAGUCAAUGAAAUUGAUCUACCCGUGCAGAAGCGGGUAUAGUACCAUAAGACGAGAAGACCCUAUGGAGCUUUAGGUAAAGGAUCAAACAUGUAAAUAAGACAGCAUCAUCCAAGGAUACAAAACCCCCUUAAACAUAAUGUAAACAUGAUCCCAAUCCCUUAGGUUGGGGCGACCGCGGGGGAAAAAAAAGCCCCCGCAUGGAACGAAUCCACUUCCAAACCCAGGGCCACAGCCCUAAGCAACAGAACAUCUGACCACUAAUGACCCGGGACACCCUACCAUGCCCGAUCAAUGAACCAAGUUACCCUAGGGAUAACAGCGCAAUCCUUUCCCAGAGCCCAUAUCGACGAAAGGGUUUACGACCUCGAUGUUGGAUCAGGACACCCUAAUGGUGAAACCGCUAUUAAGGGCUCGUUUGUUCAACGAUUAACAGUCCUACGUGAUCUA
rnacentral:rRNA from 1 species